CAUUACAUCACACUCCUACCCUGUCGGAAAUACCAACCACAAAAAUGAGACGGACGAAAGCUUUGAAAAUAGAGCGCACAUAAAUCAUCACCAAGCAUAUUUCAGAACAGUGAAGACUUCACUAGAAGCUUUAGGUAUUAGGAUGGUAUCGCAGUUUCCAUUGGACCCGAUGCAUCUGAUUGAUUUAGGCGUUGCACGCAAAAUGAUUCAAUAUAUUAUUGAAGGCAAAACUGUAACAAAGCUGUCGAAAGCAAAAAGAGAUGAGAUGUUUGGGCGGCAAUUGUCACUGGUUGGUUAUAUACCACGUGAGUUCUCAUGAAAACCAAGAAGCUUCGUUGAUGUGAACAGAUUUAAGGCAACUGAAUUUAGAUUAUUUAUUCUAUAUACUGGAGUUGUUAUUUUGAAAGAUAUCCUGGAUGACGAUUUUUAUUAUCACUUACUUAUUUUUUGUGCUUACAUGCUAAUUUCGUGCCCAAAAAACUUCAAGUCGCAUUUAAAUAUUGCCAAUCAAAUGUUUUCAGACUUUGUAUGCUGUUUUUCUAACUUUUAUGAGAAAAAGAGUGUUACUUACAAUGUGCAUAAUCUUUUACACUUAACGCACUGUGUAAACUCCUUUGGCGCCAUAAAUUAAUUUUCAGCUUAUCCUUUCGAAAACGGUCUUCAAGAUAUUAAAAAAAAUAUUAGAAGUCCCACAAAUAUUCUUAAGCAGCUCUAUAACCAGUAUAAUAACGAUAAUAUCAUGAGUCCCCCGAAGAAGCCGGUAUUUAGAUAUUGUAGAAAUGAAAUACUGAAUUGCAUGUUAAAUGAGAUGUUUUUAAGUACAACAGAACCUGACAAUAUUUGUUGCCUCAAAUCUAAAAAAGUUUUCAAAAUCACAAAAUUUUUAGACGAAAAUAGCAUCUUAGGUAGAGAAUACAACAAAUUCAAUAACCUUUUUGAAUUGCCUAUAACUUCAGCCGAAAUAGGAGUAUACCUUUGCGAUAACAGAGAAACAGAUGGUGAUCAUAUUUUCUCACUCAGUGAGAUAUUUUGCAAAUUUGUGUGCUUACCGUACCAGGACAAGUACGUUUUUAUUCCAAUUUUACAUCAGAUUAAGUAGUAGGUUCCAAUCCUUACUUAUAUCAUAAAUUAAAAAAUCACAAAAAUAAAAACAUUUUAUAAAUAAUAAAGUAAUAAUUUAACAUAAAUUUUAAAAGCAAAAUACAUAAAUAAACAAAUUCAACGCAAUAUACGAAAUGCUUCAACAAAAACUUUACUCAUCAAACACAUCUGAUGACGGCGCAGACGAAAACAGUGGCGAAAAAUUUCUACCUAUGGAGGUUGUGAUGGCUGAGCUGCAGAACAUGGGAAAAUGGCUGGACCGCAUCGAAAAAAUGGAAGGACAAAUUGUCGACAUGAUAGCAAAACGAACCGCACUUUUACAAUCGAUUUUUAAAUGAAAUAAUGUGAAGUCUGAAGUCCAAUUAGUUUCCAAUUUUAAACAAGGAAGACCUUGAUAAAUUAGAAAAGGAUAUCAAUGAAAACUACAGCGAGAUCAAUUCAAUCGUAAGAACCAUCCUUGGAAAGUUACCAAUAACAAAAAAACUGCACUGUUUUUUUGGAGAAGAUUUGAUAAUGUCGAUGAAUUAUGACGGAACGCAGGGCAUGCAUGCUUUCAAAUCAUUCAAAAACAUCAAUAAAAUUCUAUUUGAAUCUAUUUCCGUAUAUGAAGAAAUUACAAUUGACGACUACGUGAAGCAAAUAAGAGCAUCGUUUAAGAUUUUAAAAAACAGAAUUCAUAAAGCUAAGUCUGAGAAAAAAAAGAAAAAUAUUAAUUCAGCUACUGGAGAAAACCCCUCGAAUUCUUAACUUUUGACCCUUGUUUUAUUUAAUUUUUUUUAUUCAACUUUGUACUUACAAAUAUGUUGUUUAGAAUUAGAAACAAAUCAACCCAGUUGUCGCUAAUGAAAUACCAUAACAUUAUUUACUUUUCCAUUUCAAAUUUCUAUAUUGU